UCUGGAGUUAGUAAAACCAGAAUACCACAUACAGACAAAUCGGAAGGAUUCAUAUGGCAAGACCUGUUUUCAGCUACUAGGCCUUCUGGAAGAUGAUUACAACAAAAAUGUAUGUCAUCCUAUGGAGCAUCGAUCAUUGCUAAAGUGAUGCUCUCUUAUACGCGGGAUCUUACAUUCUUUCUUUGAUGAUCAUUAAUUUCUCUGUGUUUAAGUACAUUGUUGAAAUGAAAGCUUUUGCACAUGAGCUUGUGCCAACAAUCACCUAUACUUCUUCAAAUGUUGUCCAAACCAUUAUGCAGGCUUUCUCACAACUGCCAUAUUUAAAGAUAUGGUAUAGUCCUGACUCUUACAUGGGUGCAAAUAUUAGAGUUUUACUAGAGCAGAUAACAAAGAUGAUAGAUGAAGAAAUUGUUGAGAUACAUCCAGCACACUAUAGAGACUCAAUCAGAUCUCUGCUACCUUGCCUGCUUUAUUAUCAGGAUGGGACAUGCAUAGUGCAUCAUUUGUUUGGAAUGAGGUUGUCAACAGGAUAAAUGAAAUGUAUUGUGAUGCAUUUCUAACUACUCAUUUAUUGUAUUUUGUCAUAUGUGGGAUCUGAUAAGAUCAUUUCUGGUCAGGGAGACAAGGAGCUUAUAUUGUUUGCGUUGAUUGAAAGCUCUGAGAACAAUAGGCAAUGAAAGGAAGACAUUGAAGAUCUCCGCUUAUUAAUAGAGUUUCCAAAGUUAGGGAUAGGUAAAUAAUUUUACUAGUUUUUGUCCAAGUGUUUGAUUUUUUUUUUUUUUUUUGAAAGGCCAAGUGUUUGAUUUUUAGCUGUGUGAGGAAUUUAUGGUAUA